GACGAACGCUGGCGGCGUGCCUAAUACAUGCAAGUUGAGCGCUGAAGGUUGGUACUUGUACCGACUGGAUGAGCAGCGAACGGGUGAGUAACGCGUGGGUAAUCUGCCUUUGAGCGGGGGACAACAUUUGGAAACGAAUGCUAAUACCGCAUAAAAACUUUAAACACAAUUUUUAAGUUUGAAAGAUGCAAUUGCAUCACUCAAAGAUGAUCCCGCGUUGUAUUAGCUAGUUGGUGAGGUAAAGGCUCACCAAGGCGAUGAUACAUAGCCGACCUGAGAGGGUGAGAGGCCACAUUGGGACUGAGACACGGCCAAAACGCCUAGGGGAGGCAGCAGUAGGGAAGCUUCGACUAUUGAAGAAAGGCUGAAAGAGUGACGCCGCGUGAGUGAAGAAGGUUUUCGGAUCGUAAAGCUCUGUUGGUAGAGAAGAAAGGUGGUGGGAGUGAAAAGCGCAUGAAGUGACGGUAGCUACUCAGAAAGCGACGGCUAACUACGUG
rnacentral:rRNA from 1 species